CCUACGGGUGGCAGCAGUGAGGAAUAUUGGGCAAUGGGCGAAAGCCUGACCCAGCCAAGUCGCGUGAGGGAUGAAGGCCCUACGGGUUGUAAACUUCUUUUGUCAGGGAGCAAUUGGGUCCACGCGUUGACUUAGCGAGAGUACCUGAAGAAAAAGCAUCGACUAACUCUGUGCAAGCAGCCGCGGUAAUACGGAGGAUGCGAGCGUUAUCCGGAUUUAUUGGGUUUAAAGGGUGCGUAGGCGGAAUAUCAAGUCAGCGGGAAAAAUUCGGGGCUCAACCCCGUCGUGCCGUUGAAACUGACGUUCUUGAGUGGGUGAGAAGUAUGCGGAAUGCGUGGUGUAGCGGUGAAAUGCAUAGAUAUCACGCAGAACUUCGAUUGCGAAGGCAGCAUACCGGCGCCCAACUGACGCUGAAGCACGAAAGCGUGGGUAUCGAACAGGAUUAGAUACCCGGGUAGUC
rnacentral:rRNA from 1 species